GCUUCAGUGAUUGCACUACUGCUGCCCUAGCUUGAGGAUUUGGAGAGCUGGCAUUACCUCAACCCUUUCUCUGCUCUAACUAAAAGGAGACUAUUAUCUAGAUGAUGGCUCCCCGGGGCAUUACCAGUAUGGCCACCACAUGAACUUGCCUGCCUUACAGGAUCUUUAAAAGCAGCACACCACCAUGAUCCAGAAAAUGAAACGGAGCACAUCUGACAAAGGGACAACUGCAGUUCUUCAAAGACCCCCUUGACCCAUAUGAGGCAAAAUCCAGGAAACCUGCUGACAAGAUCAUCAGUGAUCCCUCCGCAUCAAAAGCACUGCAGAGCCAACAAAACCAAAACAACCAGACACAAAAACAGUUUUUCCC
ensembl:lncRNA